rnacentral:lncRNA from 1 species
GGUUCAAGUUUCUAACCCAAGUGAAAAAAUCCCACACAAUGUUUCUAUGCCAGAUGAUGAGCAUCCUUUUCAAUUCGGCGAUCAGAAAUCGCCGUUGAUCCCGAAAAUCCGGACUUUGUGCAUGUGAGGGAACUUCGCCACUACCAGCACGAAUACCGCCACCGUGUUGAAGAACAGCAUCGGAUUUUGGUAGUCUGUUGUGUGAGAGGCUAUUAGAUAUCUGCAACGAUGGAGAGAGAAAAACAAGAUUUGUUAAGAGAGAAGGAAGGAUCAGAGUCUAGUUCAACAAUUAUAUCGUGCAAAAACGACAAGUGAUCAAUGCUUAGUCAGCUUGCUCUGGAACCAGUUUCUACACCUCAAGUCCUAAUCAUAUUGUGCAGAAACGAUAAAGAUCAAAGCUUGGAAUAUGGA